AGCUAUCUGCCGUGUGCGUAGAAUUGACGACGUUUAAACCGACACUUUUAUUAUUUGGAAUGCGUUAAGUAGCACGCAGGAGUGGGAGUCCCGUUAGCAGCCUGGUUUGACUUGUCCCGGCUGCGGGAAAUCGCGUAAUGCCUGCACAGCGUUCCCCCUUUGGGUUUUUGGGUUAUAAAACUCUCCCAAUCUACGGCAUGUGCGGAGGCUU
rnacentral:other from 1 species